CCUGAGCACCCGGAAAGAAAGGAAUUCCUAUAAAUACACAGAGAGUAGAAAGAAUUUACCAAAGGCCAGUUAAGAGUGAUGGAAAAUACAGACAUCCUAAUUUUGAGAGGCCAAUUAAACAUUCAGGUAAAGAGGGGCAACUAUAUCCUGAAUUAAAGGUAGGGAUUCAGAUAAAUAUUUAAAUUUAGGGAAUUUUCAGCAUACAAAUGGUACCAAAACCAUAAGAAUGAAAGAUCACUCAUUCAUUAAGAAUGAGAAAAGAGGAGGGAUUUGAGGUCUGAGCCUUGGGCAUUCCAAAGUUAAGAAGUGAGGUUACGAAGAAGAACCAGGAAUGGAAAAUGAAAAGGAAAAGCCAGUGAAGUCAAAGACAAACUUCUGUACAAGGGCUGAAGACAGGACAAGAUGUGCUGAUGUAUAAAAAGUCUAAAUCUGCAGCAUAAUCGUGAAGAGAUGAGGAAAGCCACGUACUCAGAGCCUCACUUAAAGGAAAUGAAACAGUAAAACUGAAUCAGAUUUGGCUCUUCACUUCUGCCUUCAGUGCUGUCCAGACUCAGACAUUAUAUCAUUCUAGAUCCUUCCAAAAAAGAGCCCGCAUAGCCAAGACAAUCCUCGGCAAGAAGAACAAAGCUGGAGGCAUCACACUACCUGACUUCAAACUAUACUACAAGGCUACAGUAACCAAAACAGCAUGGUACCUGUACCAAAACAGAUGUAUAGACCAAUGGAACAAAACAAAGGCCUCAGAAAUAACACCACACAUCUACAACCACCUGAUCUUUGACAAACCUGACAAAAACGAGCAAUGGGGAAAGGAUUCUCUAUUUAAUAAAUGGUGUUGGAAAAACCGGCUAGCCAUAUGCAGAAAACUGAAACUGGGCCCAUUCCUUACACCUUAUACAAAAAUCAACUGAAGAGAUCAAAGACUUAAACGUAAGACCUAGUACCAUAAAAAUCCUAGAAGAAAACCUGGGCAAUACCAUUCAGGACAUAGGCAUGGGCAAAGACUUCACAUCUAAAACACCAAAAUCAAUGGCAACAAAAGCCAAAAUUGACAAAUGAGAUCUAAUUAAACUAAAGAGUUUCUGCAUAUCAAAAGAAAC
rnacentral:lncRNA from 1 species